UGCACGUGUUGUCUCCGUGCCUGCAUAUCUCCCAGCCAGCCGAUCUACCCACCCAACCACCCCUCCCCUUCCCCACCUCGCACCUCACCGUUUGCAGCAGGGCCUUCUCGUUCUCUCGCCGUCUCUCGCUCACACACACACAAACACGCACACGUGCGCACAUCGUUGCCAGCGCUGAAGGCGCAGCUGGAGAAGAACGCAGCCAUGUCCACGGCACGUCGCGAUGCGCUCGUGGCGAUUGAGCAGGAGAAGCAAGCCUACUGGGCCGCGGAGAAGUUGCAUGAGUUCGACGCCCCAGCGCCUGGGGAGGCGCGACCGGCGAAGUAUCUGACCACGUUCCCCUUCCCGUACAUGAACGGCAAGCUUCACCUCGGUCAUGGCUUCUCGCUCACGAAGGCCGAGUUCGCCUCGCGCUUCCAGCGCAUGAUGGGCCGCCGUUCGCUCUGGCCCUUCGGCUUCCACGUCACCGGCACCCCGAUCGCUGCGUGCGCGCAGAAAAUCGCCAAGGAGAUGCAGCAGUACGGCAACCCGCCGCAGUUCCCGGCGGAGCUGCUCGAGGACAAGCCCAAGGCGAUGGUGGUCAAGGAGCCGACGGAGGCGCUAGGGCAGCACAAGAGCAAGCGAGGCAAGAGCGGGCCGGCGAAACCGCAGUGGCUCAUCAUGCAGAGCAUGGGCAUCCCCGACUCGGAGAUCGCGAAGUUCGCCGACCCGCAGUACUGGCUGGACUACUUCCCGCCCAUCGCGAUGGAGGACUUGAAGAGUUUUGGCUGCCACAUCGACUGGCGCCGCUCCUUCAUGACGACGGAGCGUAGCCCAUACUUUGACCGCUUCGUGCGGUGGCAGUUCAACAUCCUGCGCCGCGAGAACCUGCUGAACUACGGCAAGCGUUACUGUGUGUACUCGCCGCGCGACGGCCAGCCGUGCGCCGAUCACGAUCGCGCCAGCGGUGAGGGUGUGCUGCCGCAGGAGUACGCAUUGGUGAAGCUCAUCGUCCAGAACCCACUCGCGCAGCCGUGCUUCGCCGAGCACAAGGACAUUAUCGGCGACCGCAACGUCGUGCUGCCCGGCGCCACACUCCGUCCUGAGACGGUCAUCGGUCAGACGAACUGCUGGGUCAGCAACAAGCUCAACUACAAGGGGUACUACGUGCGCAACGCGAAGGGAGAAGACGAAGUCUACAUCAUGACGGCCCGCGCCGCGCGCAAUAUAGCGUACCAGAACUUCUACGUAAACGGCCAGGUCGGCACCGAUCCGGAGCCGCUCUUCGAGGUGGAGGGAGCAAGCAUGGUCGGCAUACCGCUUUCGGCCCCGCUGGCGCCUUACACGACAAUCUACACGCUGCCUAUGGCCACCAUCACGGAGGCGAAGGGUACCGGCGUCGUCAUGUCUGUGCCGUCCGACUCGCCGGACGACUACAUCAACUUUACCCAGCUGCUGAACAAGCCGGAAUACCGCGUGAAGCUCGGCAUCAAAGACGAGUGGGUGGUGCCGUUCGCGAUGAUUCCGAUCAUAGACAUUCCCGAGCUGGGCACCGAGGGCGCCAAGUUCAUGUGCGAGAAGCUCAAGAUCAACGGCCCGAACGCGACGGAGCUGCUAGAGGAGGCGAAGAAAGUGUGCUACCAGCAGGGCUUCUACCACGGCACCAUGAUCAGUGGCCCCUACGCCGGCGUCAAGGUGAGCGAGGCCAAGGUGAAGACGCAUCGUGACAUGGAGGCGGCGGACCAGUGCAUCCGCUACUACGAGCCGGUGCGCCAGGUGAUCAGCCGCAGCGGUGACGAGUGCGUCGUCGCGCUGUGCGACCAGUGGUACCUCGAGUAUGGCAAGGACGAUUGGAAGAAGCUGGUGCAGGACCACAUCAAGAAGAUGGACAUGUUCUUCCCCGGUGUGCGCAACGGCUUCGAGGAGACGCUGAACUGGCUGGCGGACUGGCCGUGCAGCCGCACCUUCGGUCUCGGCACCUACCUGCCGUGCGACGCGUCUCACACGAUGAUCAUUGACAGCCUGUCGGACUCCACCAUCUACAUGGCCUACUACACGAUCGACCGCUUCUUCAACGUCGGCGCCGACGGUUCGACCGACCUGUGCGGCAAGGCGGACAACCCGUACGGUCUGGCGCCAGAGAUGUUCACGGACGAGGUGUUCGAGUACAUCUACCACGGCGUCGGCGACGCGGCCACCGUCGCGGGUGCGGUGAGGAUGCCGGUCGAGUCGCUGAAGCUGAUGCGCAACGAGUUCGAGUACUGGUACCCUGUCGACCUGCGCUGCUCGGGCAAGGACCUCAUCCAGAACCACCUGACGAUGUUCCUCUACAACCACGCCGCCAUCUGGCCGACGGACGAGAGCAAGUGGCCGCGGGCAAUCUUCUGCAACGGCCACAUCCAGGUCGAUAACGAAAAGAUGGCCAAAUCGAGGGGGAACUUUAUCUCCUUGCGUGAGGCGAUGGACAUGUACGGCGCUGACGCCACGCGUCUUACCUGCGCCGAUGCCGGUGACAGCAUGGACGACGCCAACUUCGUGCGCGAGACGGCGGCUGGGUUUGUGCUGAAGAUGACGACGCUGCUGGAGCAGGCGAAGGAGACGGUUGAGCGCACCGACCUGCGCAGCGGCGGCUACAACGAGUUCGACAAGAUCUUCAAUAACACAAUGAACACGAUCAUCACCCGCACCGAGGGCUUCUACCACCGCAUGCAGUUCCGCAUGGUGCUCAACACAGCCUUCCACGAGCUGUCCAACGAGUACAGUCAGUAUAAGAUGUACUGCGACGACCUCAACGUACACGCGCAGCUCGGCCGCCGCUACUACGAGGUGGUGGCGCUGAUGAUGAUGCCACUGGCGCCACACACGAUGGAGCAUCUGUGGCAGAACAUCCUCCAGCACGAGGGCUCUGUCGUCACGCAGCCGUUCCCGAAGCCGACGGCGAAGCUGGACUACUCGCUGAUCGUCGCAAGCCGGGUCAUGACGAUCGCUCUCAAGGAGAUUCGGUCGCAGGUGAUCAAGAACGCGAAGAAGCGCGGUCCGGUCGAGGAGGUCAUCGUAUACACGCGUCGCGAGUACACGGACUGGCAGCGGCAGGCACUCGAGAUACUGCACGAGCUCUACGAGGCGAACGGCAACACAUUCCCGGAGGAUAUGGCGAAGCAAGUUGUCGCCCGCGACACCAAGAUCAUGAGCAAGGCCCUGAUGGCCUUCAUGUCCUUCGUCAAAGGCAACGUAGAGAAGUACGGGGAGCAGGCCAUGUCGACGCAGCCCGUCAUCGACGAUGCCGUGAUGUUGUCGAACGUCACGCACAACCUCAGCCGCCUCGCCGGCGUAUCGGUGGUGCGCAUCCUAUCCGCCGAAGACGAGACUUACAAGGAGCACGACGCGGCACGCCGCAAGUGCCUGCCUGGUGAGCCGUCCGUCGCCUUGCCGCCAGUAGUGAAGCGCGAGUAGAACGAAACCACGUUGGGGUGUCUACCCUCUUCCAAGCGCAACGCCAAGCAAACAAGGCGCGAGCGGAAGAGAGGCGGGACGAGGAGGGAGGGCACAUGUGUGCAGAGCCAAGGUCUUAUGCGCGUGUCUUGUGCGCGUUUUCUCUCUGAACAGAAACGGAUGAAGUCCUCUCUCUCUCUCUUGGCUUUGUGACGUCGGCAUUGCGCACGCGUCCACGCCGCGUUGUUCGUUUUUUUUUUUCGUGUCUCUGUUGCCUGACGGAUGGGUGGCUCUCCGUCAUCUCUGUGUGUGGCUGUGUGUCUGUGUGUGUGUGUGUGUGUUUCUCUGUCUGUGGUGGUGGUCUCGUCACCCUCUCACGCAGCCAACCAACUAACGCCUCUGUUCUUCCUCCUUUGUGAUAUUCCACCCUAAGGCUUAUGCUCUCCUCUCUUUCCUCUCUCUUGUUAAAAAGCGGUGAGCCUAAUCAUCAGCCGAGCUCUCUUUUGUGUGAACCGUACUCCGUACGCUCACGGCAUCUCUUGUUUUCUUUGGGCUGGACGCCGUGUAAGGCUCCCGUUGCUCUUCCAGUGUGCCUGUUGUGCAUAUUCUUUCAAUCGGGUGAGCGGUGCUCGGCUUUGGUCGCGGCCGAUGAUGCGCUUCGACCGUUAUGGUCGAGUGGGCCCACGUCUUGCCGCCUCGUCAUGGCUCCUCCUCCGCCUCCUCCUCCGUGAGGAGGGCAAGCGCAGAGACGACGAGCACGCAAGGUCACGCGGAUGUGCACAUGCGUUCGCACUCAAGCGGCACAGCGCCCCCACACAAGAAGCAACGAACUGCCUUUCGCUAACUUUCUUUUUACAUGAUCCCUCACCCCGUUCUCCUUGUUUCGCUCAUGGCUGGCUCUCUCUCUGUAUGCUUGUCCCGUUCGUGUCGUCGGCGUGAGUAUUUUAUGUGUGUGUAUGUGGCUACGCGAUAUCCCUUUCUUUCUCCAUAUCGGCAGCCCAUACCCUCCUCCCUUUCGAGCGAACGUGAGUCUGAGCACCCUCUGUCUCGUUGUGUGGUAUGGACUUGAUUGCGUGUGUGUGUGUGUGUGUGUGUGUGCGCGCUUGUGCGGGUGUGGGUGCGUAAAUGUCGAUCUCCGUGUGUAGGUGUGAGCACGUUGGUUGGGUCGUUGUUGUUGUCACCGUCGUCGUGUGAAGCACUUCUUUCUUCUGUGAUGCUCUUCUCUCUCUCAUGUGUACGCACGUGUGCGUGUGUGUGUGUGUGUGUUGUCCCCGCUCUCCCAAGCGUCCUGGGUGGGCGCCGGUGCGCGUCAUGGGCGUGAAGGCAGUUUGCCGUUUCAGGUGGCACCAGAAGAAGGUGAGGGACAGCGGAAGGCUAGCGCGUAACGGUGCUCUUGCAGAGAAGC
rnacentral:misc_RNA from 1 species